UACAGAGGUCUCAAGCGUUGUUCGGAUUCAUUGGGCGUAAAGGGCGCGUAGGCGGCGGGGUAAGUCUGGUGUGAAAUCUCGGAGCUCAACUCCGAAAUUGCACUGGAUACUGCUCUGCUAGAGGGCUGGAGAGGAGAUCGGAAUUCACGGUGUAGCAGUGAAAUGCGUAGAUAUCGUGAGGAAGACCAGUGGCGAAGGCGGAUCUCUGGACAGUUCCUGACGCUGAGGCACGAAGGUCAGGGGAGCAAACGGG
rnacentral:rRNA from 1 species